rnacentral:rRNA from 1 species
AACUAUAACGGUCCUAAGGUAGCGAAAUUCCUUGUCAGGUAAGUUCUGACCCGCACGAAAGGCGUAACGAUUUGGGCGCUGUCUCAGCUGUAGACUCGGUGAAGUCUUAGUACCUGUGAAGAUGCAGGUUACCCGCGACUAGACGGAAAGACCCCAUGGAGCUUCACUGCAGGUUGAUAUUGGGAUUUGAUGCAGCAUGUACAGGAUAGGUAGGAGGCAAAGAGAUGGAUACGCCAGUAUUCAAGGAGCCGCUGUUGGGAUACUACCCCUGUUGUAUUGGAUUUCUAACCGGACGACGUAGAGCCGUUGACGGGACAGUGUCAGUCGGGCAGUUUGACUGGGGCGGUCGCCUCCCAAAGAGUAACGGAGGCGCCCAAAGAUACCCUCAGCUUGGAUGGAAACCAAGCGCAGAGUGCAAAGGCAAAAGGGUGUUUGACUGCGAGACCCACAAGUCGAGCAGGGACGAAAGUCGGGCUUAGUGAUCCGGCGGUGCUGAAUGGAAAGGCCGUCGCUCAACGGAUAAAAGCUACCCUGGGGAUAACAGGCUGAUCUCCCCCAAGCGUCCACAGCGACGGGGAGGUUUGGCACCUCGAUGUCGGCUCGUCACAUCCUGGGGCUGAAUUCGGUCCCAAGGGUUCGGCUGUUCGCCGAUUAAAGUGGCACGCGAGCUGGGUUCAGAACGUCGUGAGACAGUUCGGUCCCUAUCUGUUGCGGGCGUAAGAGAUUUGAAGGGAGCUGUCCUUAGUACGAGAGGACCGGGAUGGACGUACCUCUGGUGCACCAGUUGUCCUGCCAAGGGCAUAGCUGGGUAGCUAUGUACGGACGAGAUAAACGCUGAAAGCAUCUAAGCGUGAAACUCCCCCUAAGAUGAGAUCUCUCAUCCUUCAUGGAGUAAGGGCCCAGGAAGACUACCUGGUUGAUAGGCCGGAGGUGGAAGUGCAGUAAUGUAUGCAGCUGACCGGUACUAAUAGUCCGAGGGCUUGACCAA